rnacentral:lncRNA from 1 species
GCCCAGAAUGUGCCAUUCCUGGAAACCCGCCCACAGCCCGUGCUUCCACCAGCGCAGCUCAGCCGCCUGUCUCCCCUGCCCCCGGGUCUGCUCGCCAGCCGCCGGGAGAGCGCCCGCGUGCUGCACGCGGCGGCCCCUCCCCUCGGGGGUUCACACUCUGCUUCGCCCCGCCCCUCCCAGAGUGGGCUGGCUUCACCGGCGGCGCGCGCUGAGCCCUCGGGCAGGUGUGGAGCAGCUCACCGGUUAGCCUUGCUCCUCCGACCCGACAGCCGGUCCCCCGAGCAGGGGAGAGCUGCCAGGCCCGCCUCCGAGCGAGCGCCCUGGCCCCCCCGCCCCUCCCCACGGCGGGCACGAGCCUCCCGAGCCGCUGCGAUCUGCUCUGCUGCCCUGAAUAAAAGUGCUCUGGGACACGGUCUGCUCGUGUGGGUUUGUCUCUUCCUUUCUGGGGGUAGGGCUGCAUGGGUCUCCAGGAGAGAGGUGCAGACACUUUCUGGCCAGGCCCCGGACAGCAGAAGGGACAUCCGGGGCGUCAGGGGAGGAGGGGACACUGACCUCUGGACGUGCGUCACCUCAGCCACACUUAACAGAGAAGCAGACUGCGGGCCUGGUAGGGUGCCUCCUGGAAGGAGGCUGGGAGCUGGUGAGGGUGUGCACAGGGAGGGGCCAGGCCAGUUCCCUGAAUUCCUGCCCCGCAGCCCUGGGACUGCAGCCUUCGGGCUGGCUCAGCAGCAGGCCUGCUGGGGCCCUGACAGAGUUCUCCACUGGGUCCCCUGCCCUGGGGUCUGACACCAGCUGAGACCCCGACAGCUCAGCCUGCAGGUGGCAGGGGGAACUUCCGGGGCGUCGUUUCAGCAGGAGGUGAGGCGGCCGGCGCCUUCCCUUGAUCAUCAGUGGGGAGCCCCGACUCGGGGCCACCCCGGGCCCCGUCACCCUGCUUUCACAGAGGGGCCCGGCCAGGGGCCCCCACCACCAGUCACAGCCCCUCCCUGAAGCCUGAGACCCCCUCCGCUCCCUGCCCUCAGCGGCCCCCAGUCUCAUCUUCCUCACUCUCAAUACGCUCCACCUGUGUCUGCUCGGCCUGGCGUCUGGCCCCUCCUGCUCCCUGGGCUCUUCUGCCCAGGGCCCUGGACUUGGCGGGGUCCUGUCUGCACGGGGAGGCCCGCGUCCUGCUCCCGCUGUCCUCCCCAGCAGCACGUCUGUGCGGCACCCUGCUGGGCAUCCCUGAGCCUCAGUUGCUCCCACCAUCUGCAGCGGCUCCUCCCCACCCGCUCCCCCACCCCGCCAGGAGCGCAGCUGAGUGAAGCCCAGUCCUCACACAGCGCAGUGCCGGCAGGCCCUGUGUGGGAAACGCCGUCUUCCUGUGUGCCUGGCCGGCGGGUGCUGUGAGCCACGCCACGGAGCUUUGUCCUCCCACUCCCAUGGCAGCCCGAGUCCCACGCCUGUCCCACUGUGUGUAGAGACCGUGGGCUCCUUGCAGGCUGUGUCCCAGCCGCCCCGUGCCUGGUGGACCGUGGGUAACGGCGAAUCCCUCGUCUGAGCCGUCCUGAGCACAGCAGCUUGGACACGAGCAAUACCCGCCGUGGGAUCAGGGACCCACCCUCCGCCUCCUCAUCCCAGUCGCCGGGGGCCUCUGCUCCUCUCGCUCUGGCUCCCUGGUGACAGUAGCCUCUCCUGCAGACCCUCCAGCUCCCGUCACCCACACUCUCUCCUGGGCCAAGGGCUGCACAGCCAGCUCCUCUCAGAGCAGCAGACCCCCUCCCCCUUCCAGGGAGCAGACACAGACCCCCGUGGGUGGGGCAGGAUGAGAGGCAGAAAAGGGCCCACAGCUGGAGAAGUCAAGUUCCAAGGAAGAUGGGGAGGAGCUGGAACCAGAAAGGGGCUGAAGCCACCAGUCGGGAUGAGCCCUGCCCUCACGUGGUCAGUGCAGCGGGCUCUUCUGGCCCUGGUGGCUGCCUGACCCAGACUAAGGCCCAGCGCAUGUUGAGUCAGUGAGCAGGCAGCCUCACAGCUGCGCCCCCUUCUCUGGGUCUGCAAAAUGGGGGCACCGGCGCUGUGACGUGACACUCCAUGCGACGAGGACCACGCGGGGCUCCGCCUGCUUCCGGCACCACCCUUGACCCAGGCCCUGGGAGCCCCACCCACAGGGCAUCCACGAGACAUGAGGGACCCCACGUGCACAGACGACCAUUCCUCCUGGGCAAACGUAAAACACUCCUGCAGGCUUGCAGGACCUUCUCAGGCCCGCCCCCUGGGGCGGCAAAGGACUGCUGACUUAGGCCUCCCCCAGAACUGUAGCCUGCGAGAGAUUCUUCCAACCCCCACUACCUCUCCCCAAAGAAGAGGAUGAAGAGAGCCAAGGCACGGGCAGAGCCAAGGUGGACCACAUUGCUGACCGCUCCUGGGAGAGUGACCUCAGGGGCCCAGAGUGGCGUGCUCUUGUGUGUGGGAAGGUUCCUGGGCCUAGUUCACAGGAAACAUGCUACUUUAUUAACACAGCCACCUCUGCUCCUAGUGCCCACACAAGGAUGAUGCCAGUGGUGUGAUGGCCCCCACGCCUGGUAGGGCCCAGGCCCAGAGGUCACGGCUGCCCCCACAGCCAGAGCUUGCAGAAGCUUGGCCACCCCGCGCCAUGAGGACC